rnacentral:rRNA from 1 species
GAUGAACGCUAGCUACAGGCUUAACACAUGCAAGUCGAACGGGGUAAGAUGCUUCGGUAUUUUACUUAGUGGCGAACGGGUGAGUAACGCGUGAGAAACCUGCCUUUCAGUGGGGGACAACAGUUGGAAACGACUGCUAAUACCGCAUAAUGUUAUUUGGGGGCAUCCCUGAAUAACCAAAGCUUAAUGUGCUGAAAGAUGGUCUCGCGUCUGAUUAGCUGGUUGGUGAGGUAACGGCUCACCAAGGCGACGAUCAGUAGCCGGUCUGAGAGGAUCGAACGGCCACAUUGGGACUGAGAUACGGCCCAG